rnacentral:rRNA from 1 species
UACGAAGGGGGCUAGCGUUGCUCGGAAUCGCUGGGCGUAAAGGGCGCGUAGGCGGCCAUUCAAGUCGGAGGUGAAAGCCCAGGGCUCAACCCUGGAAUUGCCUUCGAUACUGUUUGGCUAGAGACCGGAAGAGGUAAGUGGAACUGCGAGUGUAGAGGUGAAAUUCGUAGAUAUUCGCAAGAACACCAGUGGCGAAGGCGGCUUACUGGUCCGGUUCUGACGCUGAGGCGCGAAAGCGUGGGGAGCAAACAGG